rnacentral:rRNA from 1 species
AUUAAACGCUGGCGGCAUGCCUUACACAUGCAAGUCGAACGGCAGCACGGGGGAACCCUGGUGGCGAGUGGCGAACGGGUGAGUAAAGCAUCGGAACGUGCCCUGGAGUGGGGGAUAACGUAGCGAAAGUUACGCUAAUACCGCAUAUUCUGUGAGCAGGAAAGCAGGGGAUCGCAAGACCUUGCGCUCUGGGAGCGGCCGAUGUCGGAUUAGCUAGUUGGUGGGGUAAAGGCCUACCAAGGCGACGAUCCGUAGCGGGUCUGAGAGGAUGAUCCGCCACACUGGGACUGAGACACGGCCCAGACUCCUACGGGAGGCAGCAGUGGGGAAUUUUGGGACAAUGGGCGCAAGCCUGAUCCAGCAAUGCCGCGUGCAGGAAGAAGGCCUCGGUUGUAAC